rnacentral:rRNA from 1 species
AUUGAACGCUGGCGGCAUGCCUUACACAUGCAAGUCGAACGGCAGCACGGACUUCGGUCUGGUGGCGAGUGGCGAACGGGUGAGUAAUGUAUCGGAACGUACCUUUCAGUGGGGGAUAACGUAGCGAAAGUUACGCUAAUACCGCAUAUUCUGUGAGUAGGAAAGCAGGGGAUCGAAAGACCUUGCGCUGAUUGAGCGGCCGAUAUCAGAUUAGCUAGUUGGUGGGGUAAAGGCCUACCAAGGCGACGAUCUGUAGCGGGUCUGAGAGGAUGAUCCGCCACACUGGAACUGAGACACGGUCCAGACUCCUACGGGAGGCAGCAGUGGGGAAUUUUGGACAAUGGGGGCAACCCUGAUCCAGCCAUGCCGCGUGAGUGAAGAAGGCCUUCGGGUUGUAAAGCUCUUUCGGCCGGGAAGAAAUCGCAUAGGCUAAUACCCUGUGUGGAUGACGGUACCGGAAUAAGAAGCACCGGCUAACUACGUG